CCUACGGGCGGCAGCAGUGGGGAAUAUUGCGCAAUGGGCGAAAGCCUGAUGCAGCGACGCCGCGUGAGGGAAGAAGGUCUUCGGAUCGUAAACCUCUGUCAGCAGGGAAGAACGGUCUAUGUUCUAAUCAGCAGCGAAUUGACGGUACCUGCAGAGGAAGCACCGGCUAACUCCGUGCCAGCAGCCGCGGUAAUACGGAGGGUGCGAGCGUUAAUCGGAAUUACUGGGCGUAAAUCGCACGCAGGCGGUAUGUGAAGUCAGAUGUGAAAUCCCCGCGCUCAACGUGGGAACUGCAUUUGAAACUGGCAAACUGGAGUGUGUGAGAGGAGAGUGGAAUUCCAGGUGUAGGGGUGAAAUGCGUAGAGAUCUGGAGGAAUACCAGUGGCGAAGGCGACUAUCUGGCACAUAACUGACGCUGAGGAGCGAAAGCGUGGGUAGCAAACAGGAUUAGAUACCCGGGUAGUC
rnacentral:rRNA from 1 species